rnacentral:rRNA from 1 species
GUGUCAGCAGCCGCGGUAAUACGGAGGGUGCAAGCGUUGUUCGGAAUUAUUGGGCGUAAAGCGCGUGUAGGCGGGAAGACAGGUCAGUUGUGAAAUCCCUUGGCCUAACCAAGGAACUGCAUCUGAAACCAUUUUCCUCGAGUACGAUAGGGGAGGGCGGAAUUCCCAGUGUAGAGGUGAAAUUCAUAGAUAUUGGGAGGAACACCAGUGGCGAAGGCGACCCUCUGGAUCGAUACUGACGCUGAGACGCGAAAGCGUGGGUAGCAAACAGGAUUAGAUACCCUGGUAGUCCACGCUGUAAACGAUGUGCACUAGGUGUUGGAGGUACUUAAUCCUCCAGUGCCGCAGCUAACGCAUUAAGUGCACCGCCUGGGGAAUACGGCCGCAAGGUUAAA